rnacentral:rRNA from 1 species
GUCUUUUAAUUGAAGACUUGAAUGAAUGAUUUGAUGAGAUAUAUACUGUUUCUUUAUUAAUAUUAGAACUUAAUUUUUUAGUUAAAAAGCUAAAAUUUUUUUAAAAGACGAGAAGACCCUAUAGAGUUUAAUUUUUUAUGUUUUAUAAAUAUUUUAUAAAAUUUAUAAUUUUAUAAAAUUUAAAAAAUUUUGUUGGGGUGAUAGAAAAAUUUAAUUAACUUUUUUUAAAAAUUUAACAUUAAUUUAUGAAUUUAUGAUCCAUAAUUUAUGAUUAUAAGAUUUAAUUACCUUAGGGAUAACAGCGUAAUUUUUUUUUUUAGUUCAAAUAAAAAUUAAAGUUUGCGACCUCGAUGUUGGAUUAAG